ensembl:rRNA 5S_rRNA 5S ribosomal RNA
GUCUAUGGCUAUACCACCCUGAACGCGCCCGAUCUCGUCUGAUCUCGGAAGCUAAGCAGGGUCGGGCCUGGUUAGUACUUGGAUGGGAGACGAGAAAACUGAGCCUCAGUGGCGA